GACGAACGCUGGCGCCGUGCUUAACACAUGCAAGUGGAGCGACGAACCCAUCGGGGGGCAGAGCCGCGAACGGGUGAGUAACACGUGGGUAACCUGCCCCGAUGAACGGGACACCCUGGGGAAACCCGGGCUAAUACCGGACGAUGUGCCCACACUUAAGUGUGUUUACUUAAGGUAACUUAGGCUUCCGCAUUUGUAGGGUGCAGCCGCCCAUUAGCUUGCUGGUGAGGUAACGGCUCACCAAGGCAACGAUGGGUAGCUGGUCUGAGAGGACGAUAAGCCACACUGGGACUGAGACACGGCCCAGACUCCUACGGGAGGCAGCAGUGGGGAAUCUUGCGCAAUGCGCGAAAGCGUGACGCAGCAACGCCGCGUGAGGGAAGACGGCCUUCGGGUUGUAAACCUCUUUCGGUAGGGAAGAAGGCCGGCCGGUGAAUAGCCGUGUCGGUUGACGGUACCUUCAGAAGAAGCUCCGGCUAACUACGUGCCAGCAGCCGCCGCAG
rnacentral:rRNA from 1 species